rnacentral:rRNA from 1 species
UGGGGAAUAUUGCACAAUGGGCGCAAGCCUGAUGCAGCCAUGCCGCGUGUGUGAAGAAGGCCUUCGGGUUGUAAAGCACUUUCAGCGAGGAGGAAGGUGGUGAACUUAAUACGUUCAUCAAUUGACGUUACUCGCAGAAGAAGCACCGGCUAACUCCGUGCCAGCAGCCGCGGUAAUACGGAGGGUGCAAGCGUUAAUCGGAAUUACUGGGCGUAAAGCGCACGCAGGCGGUUUGUUAAGUCAGAUGUGAAAUCCCCGGGCUCAACCUGGGAACUGCAUUUGAAACUGGCAAGCUAGAGUCUCGUAGAGGGGGGCUAGAAUUCCAGGUGUAGCGGUGAAAUGCGUAGAGAUCUGGAGGAAUACCGGUGGCGAAGGCGGCCCCCUGGACGAAGACUGACGCUCAGGUGCGAAAGCGUGGGGCAGCAAACAGGAUUAGAUACCCUGGUAGUCCACGCUGUAAACGAUGUCGAUUUGGAGGUUGUGCCCCUUGAGGCGUGGNUUCCGGAGCUAACG